AGUACUCAUGCACACCCUUAGUACCAGCCCUAGCAAGGAAUAUAAGAUUGGAGUGUACCAGACAGCCUGACCUUGACCUAAAUAAAAUUCCCAGAGGAACACAUUCCCUGGGGUUGGAAUUUGCAGUAACAGGUGUGAGCACCCUAGCAGCAGUUUGGUGAUCAUGUAUGAUACUGCAAACAGGA